rnacentral:lncRNA from 1 species
CUUAAAUCUGCACACAGUGGCCAGGCGCGGUGGGCCGAUCACCUGAGGUCAGGAGUUCAAGACCAGCCUGGCCAACAUGGUGAAACCCCCUUCUCUACUAAAAAUACAAAAAUUAUGGCCAGAUACAGUGGCUCACCCCUGUAAUCCCAGCACUUUGGGAUGCCAAGGCGGGCAGAUCACCUGAGGUCAGGAGUUUGAGACCAGCCUGACCAACACGGAGAAACCCCGUCUCUACUAAAAAUACAAAAUUAGCCGGGCAUGGUGGUGCAUGCCUUUAAUCCCAGCUACUCGGGAGGCUGAGGUGGGAGAAUUGCUUGAAACUGGGAGGCAGAGGUUAUGGUAAACCGAGAUCACACCAUUGCACUCCAGCCUGGGCAAAAAGAGUGAAACUCCUCCAAAAAAAAUGAAAAGAACAGAACAAUUAGCUGGGCAUGGUGGUACAUGCCUGUAAUUCCAGCUACUUGGGAAGCGAGGCAGGAGAAUCACUUGAACCCAAGAGAAGGAGGUUGCAGUGAGCUGAGAUGGCGCCACUGCACUCCAGCCUGGGCAAGAGUGAGACUCCGUCUCAAAACAAAAACUAACAAAAAAACCUGCACACAGCAUAUGCACACCAAUGGGGAUAGGCCCACCCGGAUGGGUUCACCUAGACAAGAACAAGUCUGGGGACAAAUAUGUCCCUCGAUAAAGAUGUACAUAAAAAUCAUACAGACUUUGGCACACAUACAUUGCCCGGCUAACUGGGUUGUGAGCUCCUUGGAGGCAGGGAGAGGGAGUCACCCUCAAAGCCAUUACUUUGCACACAACAGAUGGUUGGUAAAAGUUUGAUUAAUUAAAUGCAGAAAUAUGCCUGCACACACAUGGGAAUGCACACAUACAACCACCCACCUAGACAGACAGAUACACACACACACACACGUACACACACACACAUCUGCUCACUCCCCCGCACCAGGAACCUCACAGCCUGGGUCCCCUCCUGCCACCACCUCCACCCUGCCCUGGCCCACUUGGCCUUCCUGUCUGAGGCAACCUCCUCCUCAGCCCACACCCCCAACUUCCUCUCCUGAGGUAACUGCCGCACCCACUCCCACGGAGGCCUCCAACCCAGGG